UACGGAGGUCCCAAGCGUUGUUCGGAAUUACUGGGCGUAAAGGGAGCGCAGGCGGACAGGUCAGUCUGAAGUGGAAAUCCGGGGCUCAACCUCGGACUUGCUUCGGAUACUGCCUGUCUUGAGUUCGUGAGAGGAAGAUGGAAUUCAGGGUGUAGCGGUGAAAUGCUCAGAUAUCCUGAGGAACACCGGUGGCGAAAGCGGUCUUCUGGCGCGAAACUGACGCUGAGGCUCGAAAGCGUGGGGAGCAAACGGG
rnacentral:rRNA from 1 species